GUGCUCACUUGGGCAGCACUUAUACUAAAAGUAAAACCACGCAGAGAAGAUCAGCAUAGCCCCUGCACAAGGAGAACACAAAUUUGUGAAGCAUUCCAUAUUUUU
rnacentral:snRNA from 1 species